rnacentral:lncRNA from 1 species
UAAAUUUAUGACGAAAUACUUUCGUCGUCAAGUGGAUAUACAAUUACGUCCCACUAACGACGACAGGUACAUGUCGUCGUAAUGUUGCUGUUAAAUUACGACUAAAAAAAAUUAAAAUGUUUGCAUCUAAUUAAUGACUAAAUUACGAGAAAUUAAGAAGGUUGGUGAGCAAAACGUGAUAAAUGUUUGUAUGUAUAGUAGUUAAUUGGUAGUAAACUUUAUGUAGUUGUAAAUGCGUUACAACAUUCGCACCUACCACAUUCAAAAAUUUCUUAUAAAUAUGUUAUACUCUCUCAUUCUAAAGAAGCACAAAAAAAAAACCAAAAACAGAGAAAAAAAUGUCUCAUGGUGGCCAUAUC